GUUUUUUCUUGUUUUUAGAUUAAUAGAGUUAGUCGUUUUUUUUUUUUUUUUAAUUCUGUUACUAUUUUAUGAGACAGGAUCUUGUUCUGCUACCUACACUGCAUUGUAGUGGUACAAAUAUGGCUCGCUGUAGCCUCGGCCUCCUGGGCUUAGACCACCCUCUUGCCACAAUGGUAAAUGCCCAGCUAGUUUUUUAUUUUUACAUUUUAAUUAUUUGUUUUUUUUUAUUUGUUUUUUUUUGAGACAGCGUCUCACUUUGUUGGUCAGGCUGGUCUCAAAUUCCUCGGCUCAAGUGAUCCUCCCACAGCGGGGAUACAAGCAUGAGCCACUGUGCCUGGCUUUCCCUUUUAUUAAAGAUUUAAGCAAAAAUAAAACUAAGUAGAGUUUGUUGGGGGUUUUUUGUUUGUUUUUUGAGACAGUCUUUGUUGGGUUUUUGUUUGUUUGUUUGUUUUUUAAGACAGUUGCCCAGUCGCCCAGGCUGGAGUACAGUGGUGCAAUCACAGCUCACUGCAACCUUGACCUCCCAGGCUCAAGUGAUCCUCCCAUCUCAGCCUCCCGAGUAGCUAGGACUACAAGUGCAUGCCACCAUACCUGGUGAAUUUUUUGUAUUUUUAUUAGAGAUGGGGUCUCACUAUGUUGCUCAGGCUGGUAUAGAACUCCUGGGCUCAAGGGAUCUGCUAGCCUUGGCCUCCCAAGGUGCUGGGAUUAUAGGCAUGAGCCACCAGGCCCAGUGAGUAGAGUUUUAACUGGGUGUUUUAUUGAGGUGUGUAAUGUUGGGACCUGUCUUCUCCUUGUUUUAUGUAGCUGUAGUUUCUUGAUUUCUCUUAUGCUAUGUAAUAUCUGACUUUUAUGGUAGCUGUUUCUUUUAGUUCUACUACAUAUGUAGUAUAGUUGUACCUGUAUUUGGAGUUUACGUAGGUCUUCUCUCCAAUCUUGCAUUUUCUGUUUAACAUUACAUUUAUGAGAUUCAUAGAUUCACUCACAGCACUGUGCACAGCUGUUAUUUUUUCGUGUUCUUGGCUCUUUGCUAUGGUUAUCACACUGUCAUUAUAAUUCCAUUCUACUGUUGAUGCACAUUUGGGUUGGGUGCAGCCUGAGGUCACUAGAACAUCACUUUUAUUGACAGUCGUGCAUGUGCCACCUACUAGCACAUGCCAUAUGAUGUUUUUAUCUUCCACUUUACUAAGUAAUGGUAGUUAUUUUCAUAAGUGGUUAAUACCAUUUGGUAUUCCCUAGGAGAGGAACUGCUUGCUGGGCAAAGAGAAGUACAUAUUCAACUUUUCAUUGAAGUAAUGCCAGUUUUGGCUUACUUCCAAAGAGAUUGUGCCAGUGCAUAGUUGCGCCAAUAGCACGUCGAUGUUCCUGUUGUUUCACAUGCUUACUAACUCUUGAUAUUUUCAGACUUCUACUUUUUUUUUUUUUUUUUUUUUGAGAUAGGGUCUACUCUGUCACCCAGGUUGGAGUGCAGUGGCACGAUCUCGGCUUACUGCAACCUUUGCCUCCCAGGUUCAAGUGGUUCUCCCACCACAGUCUCCCAAGCAGCUGGGACUACAGGCGCGCACCACCAUGCCCAGCUAAUUUUUGUAUUUUCGUAGAGAUGGGGUUUCAUCAUGUUGCCCAGGCUGGUCUUCAACUCCUGAGCUCAGGCAAUCUGCCCACCUCAGCCUCCCAAAGUCUUAGGAUUACAGGCGUGAGCCACUGCACCCAGCCUUCAGACUUCUACAUUUUUGACCAUCUGGUGGGUAUAAAAUAUAUCACUUAAAAUAUUUGCACACAAUUCCAUCAUGUGGAUGAACCACCAUUUGUUCAAAUCAAGAUUCUGGUGUAUGACAUAUAGGUACCUGCCAAUUUUUCUAUUGUAUA
rnacentral:lncRNA from 10 species